rnacentral:ncRNA from 1 species
AUUGGGAGUGUGCGUAAGAACUCCACUCGAAGUGAAUAAGUCUGGUGUACUUCCCCGAUAUCAGAAUUUUUUACUCGAGUGGGGCUCUAUGCACACCGCUACAUGUA